rnacentral:rRNA from 1 species
AGAUUAGCUUGCUAUAACUGUCAGCUAAGUGGCGCACGGGUGAGUAAUGUAUAGAUAACCUGCCCUCUAGAAAGGAAUAACAGUUGGAAACGACUGCUAAUGCCCUAUAUGCCUUUAAUACAUAAGUAUGCAAGGGAAACGCUUUAGUGCUAGAGGAUGGGUCUGUAUGGUAUCAGCUUGUUGGUGAGGUAAUGGCCCACCAAGGCUAUGACGCCUAACUGGUUUGAGAGGAUGAUCAGUCACACUGGAACUGAGACACGGUCCAGACUCCUACGGGAGGCAGCAGUGGGGAAUAUUGCACAAUGGACGAAAGUCUGAUGCAGCAACGCCGCGUGGAGGAUGACACAUUUCGGUGCGUAAACUCCUUUUAUAUAGGAAGAUAAUGACGGUACUAUAUGAAUAAGCACCGGCUAACUCCGUGCCAGCAGCCGCGGUAAUACGGAGGGUGCAAGCGUUACUCGGAAUCACUGGGCGUAAAGAGCGUGUAGGCGGGUAUAUAAGUCAGAAGUGAAAUCCAAUAGCUUAACUAUUGAACUGCUUUUGAAACUGUAUACCUAGAAUGUGGGAGAGGUAGAUGGAAUUU